rnacentral:rRNA from 1 species
AUUGAACGCUGGCGGCAUGCUUUACACAUGCAAGUCGAACUGUAACAGGCCUUCGGGCGCUGACGAGUGGCGAACGGGUUAGUAAUGCAUCGGAACGUGCCCAGUCGUGGGGGAUAACGCAGCGAAAGCUGUGCUAAUACCGCAUACGAUCUGCGGAUGAAAGCGGGGGACCUUCGGGCCUCGCGCGAUUGGAGCGGCCGAUGUCAGAUUAGGUAGUGGGUGGGGAAAAGGCCCACCAAGCCAACCAUCUGUAGCUGGUCUGAGAGGACGACCGGCAACGCUGGGACUGGGACACGGCCCAGACUCCUACGGGAGGCGGCAGUGGGGAAUUUUGGAAAAUGGGCGCAAGCCUGAUCCAGCAAUGCCGCGUGCAGGAAGAAGGCCUUCGGGUUGUAAACUGCUUUUGUACGGAGCGAAAAGGCUCCCUCUAAUACAGGGGGCUCAUGACGGUACCGUAAGAAUAAGCACCGGCUAACUACGUGCCAGCCGCCGCAGUAAGAC